UGCGGGAGAGCCUUCUCUGGGGUGAAGGAGACUCGGCUGUAGCAAGAUACGGCACCAGGAGGAGGCGAUGUAGAUACCCUACACCACACUGUCACGCGGGGAAUAAAGAAAAAUAACACCGGAGACGGAAUAAUACAGAAGAAAAGGAAAAGGAUCACACAGAAACACAACAUCAAUAAAGGGAAAACAACAACAACAACAACAACGGCAAAAACAAAGUAUAUAAAUGACAAUCUAGCACCCAGGCGUCUGGUGUGGCGUGUUGGCACGGGCGAGGCUUCUCUGGGGUGAAGGGGAUUUAAGUUUACGGAGCAAAAAAGGAUUUAAGUUUACGGAGCAAAAAAGGAUUUAAGUUUACGGAGCAAAACAGGAUUUAAGGAACGAAAGAGGAUUUAAGUUUACGGAGCAAAAAAGGAUUUAAGUUUACGGAGCAAAAAAGGAUUUAAGGAACGAAAGAGGAUUUAAGUUUACGGAACAAAAAAGAAUUUAAGUUUACGGAGCAAAAAAGGAUUUAAGGAACGAAAGAGGAUUUAAGUUUACGGAGCAAAAAAGGAUUUAAGGAACGAAAGAGGAUUUUAGUUUACGGAACAAAAAAGGAUUUAAGGAACGAAAGAGGAUUUAAGUUUACGGAGCAAAAAAGGAUUUAAUGAACGAAAUAGGAUUUAAGUUUACGGAGCAAAAAAGAAUUUAAGUUUACGGAGCAAAAAAGGAUUUAAGGAACGAAAGAGGAUUUAAGUUUACGGAGCAAAAAAGGAUUUAAGUUUACGGAGCAAAAAAGGAUUUAAGGAACGAAGGAGGAUUUAAGUUUAUGGAACAAAGAAGGGAUUUAAGUUUAAGGAACAAAAAAGGAUGUAAGUUUAAGGAACAAAAUAAAGGAUUUAAGUUUCAGGAACAAAGAAAGGAUUUAAGUUUACGGAGCAAAAAAGGAUUUAAAGAACAAAAAAGGAAUCAACUUUUAUGAGCAAGGAAAGGACAAGUUUUUGCGUU